GCCUCACGGUCCGAGUUGUAAUUGUAGAGGAUGAUUCUGGCGACGUGCCUUCCGAGUUCCCUGGAACGGGACGCCAUAGAGGGUGAGAGCCCCGUCCGGUCGUGCACCUAGCCUCUGUGAAUCUCCUUCGACGAGUCGAGUAGUUUGGGAAUGCUGCUCUAAAUGGGAGGUAUACGUCUUCUAAAGCUAAAUACCGGCCAGAGACCGAUAGCGCACAAGUAGAGUGAUCGAAAGAUGAAAAGCACUUUGAAAAGAGGGUUAAAUAGUACGUGAAAUUGCUGAAAGGGAAGCGCUUAUGACCAGACUUGGGUUCGGUGAAUCAUCCGGCGUUCUCGCCGGUGCACUUUGCCGUCCCAGGCCAGCAUCAGUUCGCGCCGGGGGAUAAAGGUUUCGGGAACGUGGCUCCCUCGGGAGUGUUAUAGCCCGUUGCGUAAUACCCUGGUGUGGACUGAGGUCCGCGCUCUGCAAGGAUGCUGGCGUAAUGGUCAUCAGUGACCCGUCUUGAAACACGGACCAAGGAGUCGUCUUCGUAUGCGAGUGUUCGGGUGUCAAACCCCUACGCGUAAUGAAAGUGAACGUAGGAGAGAGCUUCGGCGCAUCUCCGACCGAUCCUGAUGUUCUCGGAUGGAUUUGAGUAAGAGCAUACGGGGCCGGACCCGAAAGAAGGUGAACUAUGCCUGUAUAGGGUGAAGCCAGAGGAAACUCUGGUGGAGGCUCGCAGCGGUUCUGACGUGCAAAUCGAUCGUCAAAUAUGGGCAUGGGGGCGAAAGACUAAUCGAACCUUCUAGUAGCUGGUUUCCGCCGAAGUUUCCCUCAGGAUAGCAGUGUUGAACUCAGUUUUAUGAGGUAAAGCGAAUGAUUAGGGACCAGGGGGCGCUUUUUAGCCUUCAUCCAUUCUCAAACUUUAAAUAUGUAAGAAGCCCUUGUUGCUUAGUUGAACGUGGGCAUCGAAGAUC
rnacentral:rRNA from 1 species